rnacentral:lncRNA from 1 species
AUGUCAGCACCUUCACGGAGCGAACACAAAAGAAUCCUGGUUCAGAAAGGUCAGGCCUGCUUUACUAGGGCUGGUGCAUGACUUACCUUGACCUGCAUCCCCAGCGUGAGCGGUAUGAUGCCUCUCCCAGCCCGUUUCUGCCUCGCUUCUUUGGAGGAAAAAGCAGGCAGAGCUGGUCCAUAAUCCUAGCUCCACUGCCCCCAACCUGCAAGACUCUCUGCAAGACCCUGUCCGGGCUCACUUUCCAGGUGAGAAUAAGACCUACAGCCGAGG